rnacentral:misc_RNA from 1 species
GAUGAAGAACGCAGCGAAAUGCGAUAAGUAAUGUGAAUUGCAGAAUUCAGUGAAUCAUCGAAUCUUUGAACGCACAUUGCGCCCGCCAGUAUUCUGGCGGGCAUGCCUGUUCGAGCGUCAUUUCAACCAUCAAGCCCCCGGCUUGUGUUGGGGACCUGCGGCUGCCCGCAGGCCCUGAAAACCAGUGGCGGGCUCGCUGUCACUCCGAGCGUAGUAGCAUAUAUCUCGCUCAGGGCGUGCUGCGGGUUCCGGCCGUUAAAAGCCUUUUUUUACCCAAGGUUGACCUCGGAUCAGGUAGGAAGACCCGCUGAACUUAAGCAUAUCAAUAAGCGGAGA